rnacentral:rRNA from 1 species
UGGGGAAUUUUGGACAAUGGGGGAAACCCUGAUCCAGCCAUCCCGCGUGUGCGAUGAAGGCCUUCGGGUUGUAAAGCACUUUUGGCAGGAAAGAAACGUCGCGGGUUAAUACCCCGCGGAACUGACGGUACCUGCAGAAUAAGCACCGGCUAACUACGUGCCAGCAGCCGCGGUAAUACGUAGGGUGCAAGCGUUAAUCGGAANUUACUGGGCGUAAAGCGUGCGCAGGCGGUUCGGAAAGAAAGAUGUGAAAUCCCAGAGCUUAACUUUGGAACUGCAUUUUUAACUACCGGGCUAGAGUGUGUCAGAGGGAGGUGGAAUUCCGCGUGUAGCAGUGAAGNUGCGUAGAUAUGCGGAGGAACACCGAUGGCGAAGGCAGCCUCCUGGGAUAACACUGACGCUCAUGCACGAAAGCGUGGGGAGCAAACAGGAUUAGAUACCCUGGUAGUCCACGCCCUAAACGAUGUCAACUAGCUGUUGGGGUCUUCGGACCUUGGUAGCGCAGCUAACGCGUGAAGUUGACCGCCUGGGGAGUACGGUCGCAAGAUUAAAAGCUCAAAUGAAUUGACGGGGUCAUAGCUGUUUCCUG